AAAAUUUAUAUUAAAUUUCAUUAAUUUACAAGUGAAGUUUAAUGUGAGAAAUA
rnacentral:miRNA from 1 species